rnacentral:rRNA from 1 species
AGAGUUUGAUCCUGGCUCAGAAUGAACGCUGGCGGCGUGCCUAACACAUGCAAGUCGUACGAGAAAGGGGCUUCGGCCCUGAGUAGAGUGGCGCACGGGUGAGUAACGCGUGGGUAAUCUACCCUUGGAUUUGGGAUAACUCUGCGAAAGUGGAGCUAAUACCGGAUAGUCUGGCUUUUAAUAGAAGUCGGUAAAGGAUGCCUCUGCAUAUGCAUUCGUCCGAGGAUGAGCCCGCGUCUCAUUAGCUAGUUGGUAGGGUAAUGGCCUACCAAGGCAACGAUGGGUAGCUGGUCUGAGAGGAUGAUCAGCCACACUGGGACUGAGACACGGCCCAGACUCCUACGGGAGGCAGCAGUGAGGAAUAUUGGACAAUGGGCGAAAGCCUGAUCCAGCCAUGCCGCGUGCAGGAUGAAGGCCUUCGGGUUGUAAACUGCUUUUGUACGGAACGAAAAGACUCCUUCUAAUAAAGGGGGUCCAUGACGGUACCGUAAGAAUAAGCACCGGCUAACUACGUGCCAGCAGCCGCGGUAAUA